ACGGUAAGCCGUCUUAUCGCUGCCCCUUUGGGGGGAGAGGAAAGUCCGGGCAACGCAGAGCAUCCUACUUCCUAACAGGAAGGGUCUGUUUUGGAGACGAAACAGAUACAGCCAGUGCCACAGAAAAGUACCGCCAGCCUUGUGCUGGUAAGGGUGAAAAGGUGCGGUAAGAGCGCACCAGCGGCUGGGUGACCAGUCCGGCUGGGUAAACCUUAGGAGUUGAAAGACCAAAUAGGCUGACAGUGCCUCGCUUCGGUGAGGCUAAGGGCUGCUCGUCCGAUGUCAGUGGGUAGGUCGAUGGAGCCUGUGCGUGAGUGCAGGCCUAGAUAAAUGAUAAGACGCACGCCUUCGGGCGUGGCGACAGAACCCGGCUUACAGGCUUGCCGUUGAU
rfam:Pontibacter korlensis strain X14-1T, complete genome.